AGAGCGAACGCUGGCGGCAGGCUUAACACAUGCAAGUCGAACGCGUGUAGCAAUACACGAGUGGCGCACGGGUGAGUAACGCGUGGGCAUCUGCCUCAUGGUUCGGAAUAACCCCGGGAAACUGGGGCUAAUACCGGAUGGUACCUUCGGGUUAAAGAUUUAUCGCCAUGAGAUGAGCCCGCGUCCGAUUAGCUAGUUGGUGAGGUAACGGCUCACCAAGGCGACGAUCGGUAGCUGGUCUGAGAGGACGAUCAGCCACACUGGGAUUGAGAACGGCCCAGACUCCUACGGGGGGCAGCAGUGAGGAAUUUUCCGCAAUGGAGGCAACUCUGACGGAGCAACGCCGCGUGCAGGAGGAAGGUUUUCGGAUCGUAAACUGCUUUUCUCGGGGACGAGCAAGGACGGUACCCGAGGAAGAAGCCCCGGCUAACUACGUGCCAGCAGCCGC
rnacentral:rRNA from 1 species